GGACGGGUGGCCGAGUGGUUUAAGGCAGCGGUCUUGAAAACCGCCGGGGGUGCAAGCCUCCCGUGGGUUCGAAUCCCACCCCGUCCGCCA
rnacentral:tRNA from 2 species